AGUGAACGCUGGCGGUAGGCCUAACACAUGCAAGUCGAACGGCAGCACAGUAAGAGCUUGCUCUUACGGGUGGCGAGUGGCGGACGGGUGAGGAAUACAUCGGAAUCUACUUUUUCGUGGGGGAUAACGUAGGGAAACUUACGCUAAUACCGCAUACGACCUACGGGUGAAAGCAGGGGAUCUUCGGACCUUGCGCGAUUGAAUGAGCCGAUGUCGGAUUAGCUAGUUGGCGGGGUAAAGGCCCACCAAGGCGACGAUCCGUAGCUGGUCUGAGAGGAUGAUCGCCCACCCUGGACCUGAGCACCGGCCCAGCCCCUUACGGGAGGCAGAGGUGGGGAAUUUUGGACAAUGGGCGAAAGCUUGACCCAGCCAUCCCGCGUGGGUGAAGAAGGCCUUCGGGUUGUAAAGCCCUUUUGUUGGGAAAGAAAAGCAGCAGGUUAAAACCCCGUUGUCCUGCCGGUACCAAAAGAAUAGGCCCCGCCUACUUUCGU
rnacentral:rRNA from 1 species